GCGAAAGUGGCGGAAUUGGUAUACGCGCUAGACUUAGGAUCUAGUCCCGGCAACGGGUUGGGGGUUCGAGUCCCCCCUUUCGCACCA
rnacentral:tRNA from 1 species